rnacentral:misc_RNA from 1 species
GAAAUGCGAUAAGUAAUGUGAAUUGCAGAAUUCAGUGAAUCAUCGAAUCUUUGAACGCACCUUGCGCUCCUUGGUAUUCCUUGGAGCAUGCCUGUUUGAGUAUCAUGAAAUCUUCAAAGUAAAUCUUUUGUUAACUCAAUUGGUUUCUACUUUGGUAUUGGAGGUCUUUGCAGCUUCACACCUGCUCCUCUUUGUUCAUUAGCUGGAUCUCAGUGUUAUGCUUGGUUCCACUCGGCGUGAUAAGUUAUCUAUCGCUGAGGACACUGUAAAAGGUGGCCAAGGUAAAUGCAGAUGAACCGCUUCUAAUAGUCCAUUGACUUGGACAAUACUAUUAUGAUCUGAUCUCAAAUCAGGUAGGACUACCCGCUGAACUUAAGC